rnacentral:rRNA from 17 species
AAGUAAGAAAGAGCACACAGGGGAUGCCUUGGCUCUCAGAGGCGAUGAAGGACGUGAUAAGCUGCGAUAAGCUUCGGGUAUUAGCAAAUAUGAAUUAAUCCGGAGAUUUCCGAAUGGGGAAACCUGGCUAGUUGAAGACUAGUCGUACAAAGUACGCAAACCUGCCGAACUGAAACAUCUAAGUAAGCAGAGGAAGAGAAAAUAAUAAUGAUUUCCUAAGUAGUGGCGAGCGAACGGGAAAGAGCCCAAACCAGUUAUGUUACGGCAUAACUGGGGUUGUAGGACUACAAUAUGGCAUUAAUGAAAUGAAGUGGAACAGGAUGGGAAGCCUGGCAAUAUAGCGUGAGAGCCGCGUACACGUAAGUAACAUUAGUCUAGUAGUAUCCUGAGUACCGCGAGGUCGGAGACGCCUUGUGGGAAUCUGCCGGCACCAUCCGGUAAGGCUAAAUACU